rnacentral:rRNA from 1 species
AGGGUUUGAUUCUGGCUCAGAACGAACGCUGGCGGCGUGGAUAAGACAUGCAAGUCGAGCGCUGAUCACAGGGUAGCAAUAUUCUGUGGUUGGAGCGGCGCAAGGGUGCGUAACACGUGGGUAAUCUGCCAUGAAGUUUGGAAUAACUUGCUGAAAGGCGAGCUAAUACCGGAUGUGACGAUUGGGAGGCAUCUCCUGAUUUUCAAAGCUGGGGACCGUAAGGCCUGGCGCUUCAUGAUGAGCCCGCGGCCUAUCAGCUAGUUGGUGAGGUAACGGCUCACCAAGGCUAAGACGGGUAGCUGGUCUGAGAGGACGACCAGCCACACUGGAACUGAGACACGGUCCAGACACCUACGGGUGGCAGCAGUCGAGAAUUUUUCACAAUGGGCGCAAGCCUGAUGGAGCGACGCCGCGUGGGGGAUGAAUGGCUUCGGCCCGUAAACCCCUGUCAUUUGCGAACAAUUAGGUUCAACUAAUACCUGAACCGUUGCUAGUAGCGAAAGA